rnacentral:rRNA from 1 species
AUUGAACGCUGGCGGAAUGCUUUACACAUGCAAGUCGAACGGCAGCACGGACUUCGGUCUGGUGGCGAGUGGCGGACGGGUGAGUAAUAUAUCGGAACGUGCCCAGUCGUGGGGGGUAACGUAGCGAAAGCUACGCUAAUACCGCAUACGAUCUACGGAUGAAAGCGGGGGAUCGCAAGACCUCGCGCGAUUGGAGCGGCCGAUAUCAGAUUAGGUAGUUGGUGAGGUAAAGGCUCACCAAGGCGACGAUCUGUAGCUGGUCUGAGAGGACGACCAGCCACACUGGGACUGAGACACGGCCCAGACUCCUACGGGAGGCAGCAGUGGGGAAUUUUGGACAAUGGACGCAAGUCUGAUCCAGCCAUUCCGCGUGCAGGACGAAGGCCUUCGGGUUGUAAACUGCUUUUGUACAGAACGAAAAGGUCUCUAUUAAUACUAGGGGCUCAUGACGGUACUGUAAGAAUAAGCACCGGCUAACUACGUGCCAGCAGCCGCGGUAA